UCUUACCUGAGAUGUUGGUUUGAAACCUGUUAAUUUUGAACCUACAGUUUGAUUAAAGGGAUUCCUAUAUCUCUAAAGGGAUGUCAAGCCUCCUUGUGAGUGGAAGGCAGUAACUUUAGAUGCGGUUGCCCACCUGGCGUUUGCUAGGACUCAAAACACAGGACGGCAUUUCGGGUAUUAC
rnacentral:other from 4 species